rnacentral:rRNA from 1 species
AGAGUUUGAUCCUGGCUCAGGAUGAACGCUAGCGGCAGGCUUAAUACAUGCAAGUCGAGGGGUAGCAGGGUAGCAAUACCGCUGACGACCGGCAAACGGGUGCGGAACACGUACACAACCUUCCUUUUAGUGGGGAAUAGCCCAGAGAAAUUUGGAUUAAUACCCCGUAACAUAAUGGUGUGGCAUCACAUUGUUAUUAUAGGUUUACCGCUAAGAGAUGGGUGUGCGGCUGAUUAGGUAGUUGGCGGAGUAACAGCCCACCAAGCCGACGAUCAGUAGCUGAUGUGAGAGCAUGAUCAGCCACACGGGCACUGAGACACGGGCCCGACUCCUACGGGAGGCAGCAGUAAGGAAUAUUGGACAAUGGACGCAAGUCUGAUCCAGCCAUGCCGCGUGAAGGAUUAAGGCCCUCUGGGUUGUAAACUUCUUUUAUAGGGGACGAAAAAAGGGCUUUCUAGCUCGUCUGACGGUACCCUAUGAAUAAGCACCGGCUAACUCCGUGCCAGCAGCCGCGGUAAUACGGAGGGUGCAAGCGUUAUCCGGAUUCACUGGGUUUAAAGGGUGCGUAGGCGGGCAGUUAAGUCAGUGGUGAAAUCUUCGAGCUCAACUCGGAAACUGCCAUUGAUACUAUCUGUCUUGAAUACUGUGGAGGUGAGCGGAAUAUGUCAUGUAGCGGUGAAAUGCUUAGAUAUGACAUAGAACACCGAUUGCGAAGGCAGCUCGCUACACAAAUAUUGACGCUGAGGCACGAAAGCGUGGGGAUCAAACAGGAUUAGAUACCCUGGUAGUCCACGCCCUAAACUAUGGAUACUCGACAUUUGCGAUACACAGUAAGUGUCUGAGCGAAAGCAUUAAGUAUCCCACCUGGGAAGUACGACCGCAAG